AGGACGAACGCUGGCGGCGUGCUUAACACAUGCAAGUCGAACGGGUGAAGGGAAGCUUGCUUCCCGGAUCAGUGGCGAACGGGUGAGUAACACGUGGGCAAUCUGCCCCAGACUUUGGGAUAACUACUCGAAAGAGUAGCUAAUACCGAAUAUUCAGCCUUGCAGGCAUCUGCGAGGCUGGAAAGUUUCUCGGUCUGGGAUGAGCCCGCGGCCUAUCAGCUAGUUGGUGAGGGUAAAUGGGCUCACCCAAGGCGACGACGGGUAGCCGGCCUGAGAGGGCGACCGGCCACACUGGGACUGAGACACGGCCCAGACUCCUACGGGAGGCAGCAGUGGGGAAUAUUGCGCAAUGGGCGAAAGCCUGACGCAGCAACGCCGCGUGCGGGAUGAAGGCCUUCGGGUUGUAAACCGCUUUCAGCAGGGAAGAAGCGAAAGUGACGGUACCUGCAGAAGAAGCACCGGCUAACUACGUG
rnacentral:rRNA from 1 species